rnacentral:rRNA from 1 species
UACGUAGGGGCCUAGCGUUGUCCGGAUUUAUUGGGCGUAAAGAGCUCGUAGGCGGUUUGGUAAGUCGGGUGUGAAAUCUCCACGCUCAACGUGGAGGGGCCACCCGAUACUGCCAUGACUGGAGUCCGGUAGGGGAGUGUGGAAUUCCCGGUGUAGCGGUGAAAUGCGCAGAUAUCGGGAGGAACACCAGUGGCGAAGGCGGCGACCUGGGCAGAUACUGACGCUGAGGUGCGGAAGCGUGGGGAGCAAACGGG